CAAAUAUUUAUGUGAGCCCAAAGACCUGUAGCUUUCCAGAAUCUAAAGGAUGCCCACCAUGGGAGGAAAGGUAGAGGACCCAUCCACUGCUAAGCUCUCUGACCUUCCUUCCUGCAACACCACAGAGAACCAAAGAAUUAUUUUAUAUCUAUGCAAGUCAUAUAGAACUAUCCUGGUGUCAGAGACAUAAAGGGCUGUCCUUCAGAAGGAGAUACACCUAGCAGGCACUGUGCUGCAUAUUUUAAAAAGGUGAUUUAUAGGAGGAACCACCUGGUAACACCGGUGUUAUUUCACAGUUUACCACAGAGCACCCUUUAGAGAUGUAGUAUUGUAAGGGAAAUGGUCAGUAUGUUUUUGAUUUGUUCUGAACUGCAGUUUAUCACAGAACCAUAGAGUGGGUAAGAUUGAAAGAGACUACAAUGGCUCAUCUGGCCCAACCUUCCUGCUUAAGCAGGGUCAUCCUAGAGCACAGGGCAUAGGAUUGCAUCCAGAUGGUUCUUGGAUAUCUGCAGUGAAAGAGACUCCACAACUCCUCUGGGUAAUCUGCUGCAGUGUUCUGUCACCCACACAAUAAAGAAGUUCUUCCUCAUACAUUGGUAAGGUCCUCUCACUGUUGUCUCUUCCCAAGGCUGAACAGGCCCAGCUCCCUCAGCCUUUCCUUGUUACAGAUGCUGCAGCUCCCUCUCACCUUUGUGGCCUCUGCUGGACCUGCUCCAGGAGCUCCACCUCUCUUGUACAGACGAGCCAGAAUGGGAUACAGUAAUCAGGAUGCUGCCUCCCCAGGGCUGAGUAGAGGGGCAAGUUUUGUCUCUUCCUGACCCUAAACAAUACUGGAUCUUUCAGAGAGGAAGACAACAGGCAAAUGAUGUACUGGGCUGCCCUGCAAAGUCCAAAGAUCUUCAAGCACACUUUACUUGUCUGCAGAGUCAACUGUACACUCAGUUCAGGUACUAAGUGUUAAAAUGCAUGUCUGUAGAAGAGAAUACCAAGCUGCUAAUCUUGAAGAUGAUUUCAGCACAGCUGCAGAACCUGAGACUGGAAGACCACACACCAGUGCUGUCAAAGGGCUGGUACCCUCACCACUGCCUGGCUCUAGGAGAAAUAAGUUAAGCCCUGAAUUACAGAAUUAUAAAAUUCUUAAUUCUUUAUGAUUUUUCUGCUCCAGUGGAGGAAUGGUUCCAUCUUCUAUGGCCAGUGAAGAUCAGAAAAAGGAACAUCAAAUAUAGGAAGCACAAGUACUAACUAAAUUCAACAACAAUUGGAAACCACGGCUAUGAAGAACAGAAUAAAAUGAAUUUCCAACUGAAAUAUGACCUCUUUGUAAACAUAUGGUUGUGAGAACUAGAAAUCCACCAAAAUAAUUAAAGAGAGGAAACUAGUUGCCUGUUAAAGCAGGUGCCUACCAAAGUUUUAGGGCAUUCAAUGAAAAGUUUCACCACUGACAAAUGAAUGUGAGGAAUCUGCCCUUUCUCCAGAUAGCCAAGAUUUUCUUAAGCACUGCAGAUGCUAACACAUCCUCCUCUGGGGUGCCAUCAAAUAGGAACAAACACAUUUCAGAAAACCCACUGCUGGCUCCCAAGAGAAAACCUGAACAGGAAGCUUUAGGUAGGAGGGAUGAGCCCAUGGUCCCUACACCAGAAGGCUGGAACAGCAGGAAGUGAUGGCAAAAGCUUACUAGAAAUUUCUCAGAAGCAAGAUGGACAGAAUCUCAGCUUAUGUGAAUGAGGUAGAUCCACAGAGGUGAAAGGAGCUCUUACACUACCUGUGAAUCUCGACUAAUGUUACUGCAACUUGAUGGCUGUGAAGCCCCCAGAUAUGCUAGUUCACUGGGAAUACUGAAGGAACGCCACACAAAAUGAGCUACAAAUCUAGAAGAGAAAAGAUUUUGGAAGGAAGAGCAAAGCCCUAGACUGAGACAGAAGAGAGUCAUGUGGUUGCAAGGAAGGAUCAGUAAGUUUGCUGUACGUUAGUAAAAUUAUUUUGCAACUGCCAGAUUUGUUCUCUGACACAGCUGUGUGACCUUCACAGGCAAAACAGCAAACUGUUAUUUACACAAAUAAGUUGUCACUUUUCAUAUGAUCUUCUUUAUAGUACUUAUUGUUUAAGUAGUAGGCUAAAAAGCAGUGGAAAUAAAUCCAAUUGGAAGUUGAAUUAAAGUAUUGGAUAAACCCUAUAAUUAAAUUCAGCACCUUCCCAAAAAUGGUUGAUCUAAACCAUAAAGAUUUCAUUACUUUCUGGCUGAUAAUCUCCUUCUAAAAUAGUGAGAAUUAAAACCAGACUACUAUUAAAUGCAGAUGCUGUUAUAAUCCAUUUUUUACUUGAACUGGAUGGUGCUUAUAUUCAGUUUUGGACAACCUCAUCAAAUAUUUUACACCAAGUAAU